GUGGGGAAUAUUGGACAAUGGGCGAAAGCCUGAUCCAGCCAUGCCGCGUGUGUGAAGAAGGUCUUCGGAUUGUAAAGCACUUUAAGUUGGGAGGAAGGGCAGUAUGUUAAUACCUUGCUGUUUUGACGUUACCGACAGAAUAAGCACCGGCUAACUUCGUGCCAGCAGCCGCGGUAAUACGAAGGGUGCAAGCGUUAAUCGGAAUUACUGGGCGUAAAGCGCGCGUAGGUGGUUUUGUAAGUUGGAGGUGAAAUCCCCGGGCUCAACCUGGGAACUGCCUCCAAAACUGCAUGACUAGAGUACGGUAGAGGGUAGUGGAAUUUCCUGUGUAGCGGUGAAAUGCGUAGAUAUAGGAAGGAACACCAGUGGCGAAGGCGACUACCUGGACUGAUACUGACACUGAGGUGCGAAAGCGUGGGGAGCAAACAGGAUUAGAAACCCCAGUAGUCC
rnacentral:rRNA from 1 species